AGUCCCGCCCACUCCAUGGCCCUGUCCGCCGCCGCAGCGCGCGCCCUUCCCCUCCUCACCGCUACCUGCUCCGGUUCCGGCGCUCGGCCGCUCCGUUGCCCUCGGGCGCCUUGGUUGCGGCCCUCCGCUGAGGAGCCAUCGGACCAGGCCGCCGCGGAGCCGGGCCGGACGCGGGCGCCAGGCCCGGGGACGAACGCCGUAACAGGGAGCGCGAGGCAGGCACGGCGCAGGGACGCGAGUGCGACGCGCUCGGCCAUCGGCCCCUGGGCUGGCGGCCAGGCCCGAGCAAUCGGCGGCCGAGCGGGGCGGGGCUCAGAGCGGAGGCGGCGGCCGCGAGGGCGGGGCGGCCGGGCCUGGCUGCGCCCCCGGACCUCGCGGGACCGCGGCGGCGCAGGAAGAAGUCCCCAAGGAGACUUCGCCAUAGGAGUUCACAGGAAAUAUUGAAAUGUCAGGUUCCACUCCAUUUCAGAUGAGAUUAGUUCAUUUAGACCUUAAAGGAGCUCCACCAAAGGUCUCGUACCUCUCAGAGAUUUUUCCUCUGUUCCGUGCGCUAGGUGCAAACGGCCUCCUCAUUGAGUAUGAAGACAUGUUUCCCUACGAGGGCCCUCUGAGGCUGCUGAGGGCCAAGUACGCCUACAGCCCCUCUGAAAUCAAAGAGAUCUUGCAUCUGGCUGGACUCAAUGAGCUGGAGGUGAUUCCCUUGGUGCAGACAUUUGGACACAUGGAGUUUGUGCUGAAGCACACGGCCUUCGCCCACCUGCGGGAGGUGGGCUCCUUCCCCUGCACCCUGAACCCCCACGAGGCAGAGUCCCUGGCGCUGGUGGGCGCCAUGAUUGACCAGGUCCUGGAGCUACACCCAGGCGCCCAGCGGCUGCACAUCGGGUGUGAUGAGGUCUAUUACCUCGGAGAGGGGGAGGCCUCGCGCCGGUGGCUACAGCAAGAGCAGAACAGCACGGGGAAGUUGUGCCUGUCACACAUGCGGGCGGUGGCCAGCGGCGUGAAGGCCCGGCGCCCCAGCGUGACACCCCUGGUGUGGGACGACAUGCUCCGAGACCUGCCUGAGGACCAGCUCGCAGCGUCCGGGGUGCCGCAGCUGGUGGAGCCGGUGCUCUGGGACUACACGGCCGACCUGGAUGUGCACGGCAAGGUCCUCCUCAUGCAGAAGUACCGGCGGUGCGGCUUUCCGCAGCUGUGGGCAGCCAGUGCCUUCAAGGGUGCCACGGGGCCCAGCCAGGCCGUGCCCCCUGUUGAGCACCACCUCAGGAACCACGUGCAGUGGCUGCAGGUGGCGGGCAGCGGGCCCACGGACUCACUGCAGGGCAUCAUCCUGACCGGCUGGCAGAGGUACGACCACUACUCUGUGCUGUGCGAGCUGCUGCCCGCAGGAGUCCCGUCCCUGGCCGCCUGCCUGCAGUUGCUUCUACGCGGUAUGUCUGGUCUGGCCACCCCAAGCCCCACCGGCCCCUCCCCGAAAGACCCGGAGGGCAGGAGGCCAAGCACCCAGUGCUCCAACCACCCUGCUGGACUGUGGUGGUCCUCACAGUCGGAGGAUGGUCUCACCGCCCCAGCUCAGCCACCCACCUGCCCUGAAGUCCACCCAGGCUGGGCCUGUGUCUGGGUCUCCAGGCCUAAGCCCAAAGCAGGCUGGAGAGUGACGCGGGAGGCACCCCUCAGACACAGUGAAUCCGCAGAAAUGCACGCAGGUCGGAGGUGGGGAACGGCUCCACCUUUGCUGCACACACGUCCUGCCCACCUGGCCGAGCAGGUGUGGGGCUCAGGCGCCCGGCCCUGGAAGGCCCCGCACCCUGGACCCAGCACUCACACUUCCAGGUCUCCUGAGGGAGCAGCGGGACCCAUGGGCAGGGGCAGGCACCGGGGAACCCCUUGGGGUCGGCAGGGGGCUUGGCCAGAGGAGCUGUGUGUGUGGAAACUCGCAGGCCACACGGGAAAUUAGCGACUGCGUGGUGCUGAUGCAGAAAGAAAAAUGGCCGAGACGCGCGGAGAGCGGGACCCGCAGGCGCGGCGGCCCAGGGACGGGGACGCGGCCGUGUCCCUUGCCCACGGCCCCAUCCGCCACCCGUGACUGGGGCACUUCCCUCCUGCCCUCUGGCCGUCAGCCUCUUGCAGCAAGCAUUUCCAUGAACACCAAGUCGGAGAUUCGUCCACGCUGGUGCCUGCAGGCCUCAUGGGUUUGUUUCGGGUGCUCUAGAAUAUUCCAUCGAUUGUGUAAAACACAGUGGCAAACUCUGCGUGAGCCCUGGACACCUGUGUGGGUCGGGCUGCGCCCAGCAGGAAGAGCCACUUGCUGUCCGGGUGUUGCUGCUGGCAACACAGUCUUACUUCUGUUUUCUGAUUUUUAAAAUAAGGAACGUAUUUCACGUGUUUAAAGAGAAGCAGCAGGCCCAUUUGCCCCCAGGUCCCCUUGGGGCCGGCACACGCGGGGCUGGGCCUGGCCAGUGGCUCUCCAUUGCCGCCCGCCCACUGCCCCAGUACCUAGGCCUGCAGGUCCCAAUGUAGCCCCCUCCCCUCCUCCAGAGGCCCCUCCAACCGCCCCGCUCAUUUGUGAUUUCAGGAGGAUUUGAUGAAGAUGUUAAAGCGAAAGUGGAGAACCUUCUCGGGAUUUCCAGCCUG